rnacentral:rRNA from 1 species
UACGGAGGAGGCAAGCGUUAUCCGGAAUUAUUGGGCGUAAAGCGUCCGCAGGUGGCUAUUCAAGUCUGCGGUCAAAGACUGGGGCUUAACCCUGGAAAGGCCGUGGAAACUGAAGAGCUAGAGUGCAGUAGGGGUAGAGGGAAUUCCCGGUGUAGCGGUGAAAUGCGUAGAGCUCGGGAAGAACAUCGGUGGCGAAAGCGCUCUGCUGGACUGCAACUGACACUGAGGGACGAAAGCUAGGGGAGCGAAUGGG